AUUGGAAGGGGUGUAUUUAUUAGAUAAAAAACCAAUGCCCUUCGGGGCUCUUUGGUGAUUCAUAAUAACUUAACGGAUCGCAUGGCCUUGCGCCGGCGACGGUUCAUUCAAAUUUCUGCCCUAUCAACUUUCGAUGGUAAGGUAUUGGCUUACCAUGGUUUCAACGGGUAACGGGGAAUUAGGGUUCGAUUCCGGAGAGGGAGCCUGAGAAACGGCUACCACAUCCAAGGAAGGCAGCAGGCGCGCAAAUUACCCAAUCCCGACACGGGGAGGUAGUGACAAUAAAUACUGAUACAGGGCUCUUUUGGGUCUUGUAAUCGGAAUGAGUACAAUUUAAACCCCUUAACGAGGAACAAUUGGAGGGCAAGUCUGGUGCCAGCAGCCGCGGUAAUUCCAGCUCCAAUAGCGUAUAUUAAAGUUGUUGCAGUUAAAAAGCUCGUAGUUGAACCUUGGGCCUGGCUGGCCGGUCCGCCUCACCGCGUGUACUGGUCCGGCCGGGCCUUUCCUUCUGGAGAGCCCCAUGCCCUUCACUGGGCGUGCGGGGGAACCAGGACUUUUAC
rnacentral:rRNA from 1 species